CCCAAAGUGCUGGGAUUACAGGCGUGAGCCACGGUGCCUGGCCAAACAACUUGAUUUCACUUGGUGGUGUGGAACUUCAGCAUGAGUAAUUCCAUGUUGGUCUGGUGUGUUGGCCUCAUUGCAGGAGCUCAGUCCAAACCAAUGACCUCCUAUAAAAUUUUUUAACAGGACAAAUGCUGGCUUGGUGCAUGGCUUGGAGCAGUGGUGCACCUUGCAUUGUCAUCCACGCCCAUGGAAACUGCGAAGAUGGAGUUCUAAUAGAACACAGCCCUUCCUCUGACGUGCACAGGAUAUGAAAAUGUCUGAUAGUGUUGUGGCUGCAGUGAGACCUGGGAGUGGCAGUUUCUUUCACUGCAGUUGUCUGUCCAAAGCGAAGUGAACUAGCAAGUCUCUUACAAAAGGGCAAGCUCUGAACUGCGCACAGUUUCAUAGGUCUCUAAUCGUGGGAAACCUCGUAUGGCAGAAUGCAGGUCCAAAAGUCCUGGACUCUGAUCCAGAUAAACGGAAGUCUCAGGAAGAAAUAAAGAAAUUGGGACACAGAGAAUGUAAAUGGAGAUGCAGUGGAAUCAGACUCCAGAGUUCCCACUCAAAAACUUUUCUCUCUCUCCUAUCUUGUGAGGAAGGACAUUUUAGGUAUUACUUCAUCUAGAAAGGAAUGGCUCUUCAGCGAGGCAAGCAGAACUGGGAAUGCAGAGCCCAGGCAUUUCUCAAAUAAACAAUUUUGUUCAAGUCAAAUGUCCCUUAUAGUGGCCAUUCAAGGCCCAAAUUAUCAUUGGUGAAGUUAUACCACUUAGAGAAAGAAAUAAAAGAAUUAUACAGCAGGAGUUUCUUCUGAAGGAAGAAAGGAUUUAGACUUAAAUGACUCACAAGAGCAGGCAACAGUCAGUUGAAAGCAAUGCUUAUGUACUUUGCAUCUGAGACUCCCACCUGUUGCUUGGCUGCCUCUGAACGCAGACCUGAUGGUCAGCACCUAUACACAGGCAGAAAA
rnacentral:lncRNA from 1 species